GACGUAGGGCGCGAGCGUUGUCCGGAAUUAUUGGGCGUAAAGAGCUCGUAGGCGGCUUGUCGCGUCGGCUGUGAAAUCCCGUGGCUCAACUGCGGGUCUGCAGCCGAUACGGGCAGGCUAGAGUUCGGUAGGGGAGACUGGAAUUCCUGGUGUAGCGGUGAAAUGCGCAGAUAUCAGGAGGAACACCGAUGGCGAAGGCAGGUCUCUGGGCCGAUACUGACGCUGAGGAGCGAAAGCGUGGGGAGCAAACAGG
rnacentral:rRNA from 1 species